GCGCCGGGCGUCGCAGGCAAACGGGGUCCGGGCACCGGGGACUCCGAGGGUGGGGGUGCUCGGUGCUCCGCCGCCAGCCGCGCGGGUUUCCUGAGAUAAUUCCCGGUUUCUCCCGCUGGAGAGCGGCACCGCUGCUGCUGCGCGCUACUGAUGCAACAGUCUCUUCUCUCAACUGCUCUCUCUCCUUGGGGGAUUCAAAGCCCUGAAGACUUUUUCUGAAGCUUUGUUCCUGGUCCCUAGAGUCACAUUGCACUUGUGACUGCUUGUUCCCUACUUGCAGAACAUCCUGCUAAUAAAGGCCUUAGCUCUUUACUGUUAAAAUAUUACUGAUUGCCAGAAUUCAAUGGGGAAUGGAAAUAGCUGCAUGAGGAGCUCCUAUAAGGGACUUCAGUACCAGAAAAAGGGCUUAGGCAGAAUUUAAGCACCUCCAUCCAACACUGAUUCCCCUACAACCCAUUGCCCAGCCCAGCUUCUAGCCUUGUUGGUCCAUUUUGAACCAUUUUGUUUGUAAAGCUCCAAGGACCACCACUGCUCUUCCCUCAUAGGUGCCCACUCCUGGUCCCAUGGAUGAAGCCCUCUUACCAGGGACAUCUCUGAUUCACAAGCGUGAAUAAGCCUGUGUCUCAUCCUACAAGAGCAUAUGGAGUUCAGAACUAAGGAAAUGAAAUGUGCACUUUUCACUCUUCACAGAUGUGCUCUUUUUCCUUCUCACACACUGCCUGUGAUCUCAUCAAACAACCACAUGGACACUUGAAAACUUGUCAUUGACCCACCACUGCAGAUACAAGCACCUAGGAUCUGCACGAGUUCACUGUUUCUGAACUUUGUCUGGAAUGAAGAAAAUUAUCCAAGCAAAACUGUCAAGUAUAAAAUCAAGAAUUGAAAUCUGUAUUGUUAUCUCAAAGCUGAUGUCAGGAGAAGGGGACGAGACAAAAGGCCUCAAGCUGUGGUGAAGAUCAUUAAAUCAGAAGAACAUAAAGCCAUGGACAUCACUGUGCCAUCCACUACAUAUUCAGUUGAAUGCAAACAUUUUUGUUAUGCAGUUUGAUAUUAUUAUUACUAUUAUACCUUUAACCCAUUUUGAGCAGCUUUAUUCCUUUUCUAACCUCCUUUGUAAUGCCUUGCAGUAAACUCCACCAGCUGAGCAAAUCGCUUCCUCUUCGUUAUUCACAGAGAGCUGCUGGAACCCAAAGCCUAAGCUAACUGCAAUAUAUGGUCCCUAUUUAAAUUCUGUGGAAGAGCUGAAAUUAUGCCAGAAUCACAGCACAGGUAUAUUAUUACUGCUGUCGUAUCGAGAGCAGGUGAUACGCUUCUGAAUUAGGGAUUAUUUAAUCACAAAGAUGCCCAAUUAGUAUGUAGUGAUAAAACUUGCAUGCGUGUUCAUCAUCCUUGGCCUUUACUGCAGACUGUAGUCUUUUUAUGCCAAUAUCCAAUAUAUCUAAUAUCAGCUUAUGCAAUAAAUUGUUUUAAGAGAAAUAUAGGGCAAUGUUAAAGACAUGUCUGUGAAUGGAGAAUGAAAAUGAUUAUUUUUAUAUAUUUUUUUCCCACGACAAAGAUAUUUUGAGUCAGAGAACAUUGCCCACAUACACUGGAGCAGUCCAUAACCCACAUAACCCCCAAGGCUGCUUUAGUUCCCAGUACAUCUGGAGGAUUUCCACUGAAACCAGCCAAGUUAAAGCGCUGUGAAAGAUGCUUGUAAAGACCAAGCAGUUCCCAUUUCACAAGACCAUGUAGGCAAGGAAUGACAGGCCCAUGGGUAAAAACAGGCCUAAAGGCUCCAGAUGGUAUAUGAAUGAAAAAGUGACAGAAAACUUACCCUGACCACCAGUGCCACAGGCAGAGAGACGGCAGCAGCGUCCUGCUGCAAGGACAAGAAGAAAAGACACUUUGUUACUGGGUGACAAGAGAAGCAACCCCUAAUUCCUCUGUGCUUUAAUUUAGUUGAGAGCGUAAUCAAUUGCUGAAAUUGUUUCACUAUUUUUAAACCUAAGGGAGCAAAUGGAAAUCACAUUGUGAAGACAGAAACUUAAUUAUGCUUUCUGAGAGCUAGCUAUCUGCCAAAGCAGAAGCAGCCAGCACCACAUUCCUUACCUCUGUCCUCAUCAGUGGAGGUUUCUGAUGCCUCCUGCCCACUCACCAAAUGUGAGAUUCCACCAGGCGAUGCUUCCUUUACUACAGCUGAGGCUGCAGUGACUCCUGGAAAAUGUUUUGACAUAGCUGGUCAUCAGGAUUAAGAGACUAAUCAAUGGGCUUUUCAUUUUGUGUUUGUUUUUGUUUUCCUCUGUGCUUUUAGGAAUGCCUGUAAUUUGUAUAAUCACAUCCCGACCUCGGCUCUCGAGAUCUUCUAUUUUGCAAAAUACCUAUGCUGUAAUCAAAGUUGCCAUUAUAGCACGGCUAGGUGUACUUGCUGGGGCUUUCAUCUAGCUAGAUACAGAUUAAAGGUCUCUGUGACCUUUGGGUCGCUGAAGCCAGCAGCAAGGAAGCUCCAUCAGCAUAGGGUCCCUUACAAACCUGUUGGGAAGGGCCACAGGUGCAGCUGACUUGCCUGUGACAGCACUGGCCUGCCUGGCUCUGCUGGAAUCGUGCCUUUGCUCCAUGAAAUACACUGUUGGCUCCACAACCAUUUAAUUGCCUGUAGUUAGAUCUUCAAAAACACACAUUCUUUGGUCCUUCAGCUCAUUUAUUAAAUGCAUGUAUGGUUCCGUUCAUAAAGGUCUCAUAGUUCAGGUCAGGUGAGAGUUCAGGUCCCUUUUGGCUUUCUCAAAGUUCCUCUGUUGUUCAUUGUUAGAGACCAAUCAGCAGCAUCAGUUUCUUUGCAGCUUAAGAAGUUGAAGACCGGGAAGAAGGAGAGAUAUUUGCAGCAACUUAAAAGGUAUUUGAUAUAUAAUCAAAUGCAAAUAUUAUGAUACAUAAAUUCGGAGCACAAUUUCUCUUGACUUUCCUACCAGUGAAAAAGAUGAUGACUCCUGAGAAUGAUGUGGUGUAGAAACCUAAUUUAAAGCAUUCAGAUUUCGAUGAUACAACAACUGCUUCUUACCCUUCUCAUUUUUUUCUGCUCACACACUGGAAAUUUAGACAUAUGUUACUAUUUUUUUUAACCACAUGAUGUGACCUCUUACAUUAUUAAAUGAGAUUAAUCUUUCAAAAUGUGAGCAAAAAUUUACAGUCUCUUCAAGACUAGAAUCAUGAGUGAAUAUAAUCAGAGGUAGCUUUGGAAAGAGCUCUGGGUACACCAGAACCCUAGAUCUGAAAUUUGUGUCUAUCACGAGAAAAAGAAAACCUUAUUAAAAAGUUAUGAAGCGGGUUCAAAAUCACAAUUCCAAUUCAUUUUGCUUUUGUCAAGAAGAGAGAACAGUUACCAAGGAUGUGAACCCAGAUCUCCACCCACAGCUUCAGUGGGUGUCAGCUGGCUCUUGGCUAAUCAAGCAGCAACAAGCAUUUGGAUUCUCAUGGAGAAGUCUAAGAACUUAAAUGAGUUCUUAAAAUGCAGCCCCAACACUGUUUGGAACUGAGUUUUGGGUGUGUCACAUAUACUCAUGACAGUGUUUGGCUGUACUAUGUUUUGGCCACAGCUGCAAGCACUCAUGUAGUCAUUCUCUUAGAAAUGUCCAUCUGGGCUAUGGAAAGAUUAACAAUAUUAACAACUAAUAAUAAAAGGGAGCUUACAAACAGGAGGAAAACUGACCUUUUACAUGGACAGCUAGUGAUAACAAAAGGGGGAGUCGUUUCAACUAAAAGAGGGGAGAUUUAGGUUAGAUGUCAGGGGGAAAUCGUUUACUUGGAGGGUAGUGAAGCUGUGGAAGACGUUGCCCAGGGCGGCUGAGGAUCUGGUGGGUAGCAGCUCUGCUCACGAUAGAGAGUUAGGAUUGGAUGGGCUUUAAGAUCCCUUUCAACCCAAACCAUUCUAUGAUUCUAUGAUUUUCUGAAAAUAACUACUAUUCAUUAAGAAAGAGCACCAUCAUCUGACCGAAGGAAAAGAAUUGUGAAAUAUAAGCAAUAUUAUUUGGAAAUUAAGAAAGAAAAGGGGGGGGGAGAACAAAGAAAAGCCAAGAGAGACCUUUUUUUUGUGUCUUGUAAUACCAUAAAAUACAUAUAAAUGGGGUAAAAUUUGAGGAAUUCCUUAUGUCUCUGCCAGAUAUGAAUGGUCAAGGACAUGCCCUUCUAAUUAUCGUCAUCAUUUUCAAAGCAUUUAACUUAUAUUUAGGUGUUUGUGUAUCCAAAGGGGAGAAAUAAGGACAUAUAAUGUAAUGGCAUUAUGUAGGUUUAUCCUAUGCAUGAAAUACUUACCUACUUUAAUCCAUCUCUCUUUUGGUACUACUGUACAGUGUAGCAGAUGGGAAAUCAAGCCAAACACUGCAAUGCUAGAAUAAGAGAUUUUGCUCUACGUACAUAUUUUAGAAAUGACCAAACUACAUACAGAAGGGAUUCUAGUUGAAAGAUUCUUCCAGUCAUACACUAAUAAUUUUGUUGCCAAGACCUACAGUACGUUCUUAAUAUUAAGCCUGUGCGCAGCUGCUGCAGUGCUCAGCUGCCCUGCUCCUGACUCUGGUGGCUCGUAGGGGCACACCAGGAGCUCGGCUCAGCUCAGCUAGUGCUGACAAGGUAGGUAUCACCGCCACGCACUCUGACAGCCUGACAGCGCUGGCUUAAUACUAACAAGCACAGUUUCCUCUUCCAGCAGCUCAUUAACAUUUGCUUCUUUAGUCUCAUUUCUACUCCAGUUGCUCCCCCACUUCCAUUCCCUCAUCUAAAUUCAAUCUGCGAUGUAUCCAGCCUCCAUUUUCUCUUUGCUUUCUCCUCAAACACUAAUUCUUCUGCCUAAAGAAAAAGUAGCCUACUACCUGCCUUUUCCUUCACACAAUGGAUGGACCUAGAUGAGGAAGGUGACAUGCCAGCUCACGGCGUUGGGAGAGAGGUCAAGGUGCUGGCCAUGGCUGAGAUGCUUUCUGACGAAGAGCUUUUACAGGAGAUCAAAGAUGAGGCUGUCCACAUGUGCCUUGUGUGCAGCCCAUUGGAGGAAGAAGGAAACAGGCCCAGAUGCCUUAGGUCAGCCACCACUGGAGCCACCCCAAAGGAGGCUGAGAGGAUGGAGAAGAAGAGGAGCAUGAGGCACUGAAUGCCCCAAGAGAAACAGCACAGAUGUGGCUCUUAGCUGAAUUACUACAUGGAAAAUGUGAAUCUCAGUGCUCUAUUAGAAGCUUUAACACUUUGAGCAAUACACGAGAGCAGCCAAACCUCCUCCUCCUCUCACUGCUGGCAUCCUGUUUCUUUCUUCAUGGUAGAGCUGGAACGUUGGACUUCCUCUGGCACCACUGAUUUAAGUUUUUUAAACUACUGAAACAAGUCAAGAUGACCCACACUAAUUUGGUUGGAUGCGAUGGACCCAGAGGUCCUUUCCCACCCUCAGCCAUUCUGUGAUUCUGUAACUGCUUUCUCACCUCUUUGGAGAUGGGCAGGAACCUGGCCACAGCUGCCUACUACCUGAGACAAAACCCUCUGAUAGCCUUCUCUCUCUCAAACCAACAGUUAUUCAUGAAAGUUAUUGGGAGUUGGGCAGUGUAUGGCAAAAACUGAUGUUAGUGCAGAAAACCUGAACUUCUCUUUGUGUUUCUGACUUCAUUGCAUGGUGUUUCCAUUUACUGGGAAAAUAAAGGU